CUUUUCGAAAGAACCAGGUACUCCCUGACCCCAGCAAUCCGGAGAACAUCGCCGGUGCUCCCUGUUCCGGCAUUCUAACCAUACCCCUUUUUAAUUCACAAACCCUAACCUAACACCCACCACACUCCCCUCCUUUCCCCUCACAACAGCACCGCAGCCCCACUCCCCCUUUUCCCCUCUCCAGCGCACACAACACAAUACACACACGCACCACCGCACCCACGCGGAAUAGGAGACCUCGAGGAAGGAGACGCCGCCUUGCUGCCAGCUCCGUCGAAGACCAGCCCGCCGCCGCUGUCGAGUCAAACCCGAGAAAGAGAGUGUGUGCGACGAUGAGAGAGGAGGAGCCGUCACCAAACGCGUCGCCGCCGCUGGAGGAGCUUCGCUCUUCACCGUCGCCGAGGAGGGGAAAGAGGAGCUGCUCCCGUCGCGCCAGUCACCGUCGUGCUUCCUGGUUGCCGAUGAAGGAGCCGCGAGAACCGUUGCCGUCGCGGAGGAGGGGGACGCGCGAGAGGGAGCCGUCAGUGUGGUCGCCGUCGCAGCUGUUGAUUCUCAGGAAAUCCAAGGAAAUCAAGUUCUGGGUUGAUUCUUUUCUGGUUCAGUAAGAUGAGUUCUCAGGAAAAGUCUCUGACUUUGGGUGGAAAUGAACAACAACAUGUUGAUGCUGAUGCUGAUGCAGCAGCUUCUUGCAGAAGAACAGUUUCUCUGCCAGCUCAAAAGUUUCUACUAUUGCAGAAGAACAGUUAUGGUUGCAAAGUCGUCGUGCUGCCGUCUCCCUCUCCUUCACUCAUCGCACCUCUGUUUCCAUCUCUCAACCCUCCUCCUCGCCACCGGUCAGUGCCAACUCCCUCCCUUCU